GUCUACGACCAUACCACCCGGAAGCACCGGUUCUCGUCUGAUCACCGAAGUUAAGCCUGGUAGGGCGAAGUUAGUACUUAGAUGGGUGACCGCCUAGGAAUACUUCGUGUUGUAGACU
rnacentral:rRNA from 1 species